GGGUCGCUAGCUCAAUUGGCAGAGCUGCGGACUUUUAAUCCGUAGGUUGUGGGUUCGAGUCCCACGCGACCCAC
rnacentral:tRNA from 1 species